ACACAAAAGAAAUUAUAUAGUGAAUAUUUCAGUUUUAUUAUGCCUUGUUUUUAUUAUGUCUUCAUAUAUGCUACUUUAUGCUUGUACAUCAGUGAAGUAAUCUUGUUUUUCUUCGAGCAGUUACACCGCGAGACUCCAGAGGGCGAUACAAGUGACUUCAAAUGUCUAUGUUGGAUACGUUACCCCCUUAUUUUGGAACACAGAUGUAGACUUCAUCAUAUAACAGCCAGACCAACCUGAGUCUCCAUUUCCAGGGACUGGAGUUGGAGGAGCUGAAAAAAGAGAGAAAAACGGAUGACCUGCAAAAGAAAACCCUUUUAUGACUGGGGCAUUGCUGAAAUCACCUCUGAAACUCACAUGAGAUUACUGGGGCCUUUUCCUAAGGAAAAGUUCCUGUGGCCUUUCUAAAGGAUGGCGGGGUUUCCCUGCUGCUCUUCUGAGACAAGCGUGC